CUUGCACACACUGCUUGAAUUUUCUCCAGGAGAAAGAGGCAGAAUUGUGCUCUGACUUCUGGAUGAAAGACAAAGCAACAAUCUAAAAUGAAGUUGAACAUAUCCAGCCCAUGGCCACUGUGCAGCGCAGAGUGAGCAAAGGAGCUGUUGCCUGACCACGGUUGGCAACUUCAAAAGACAAGUUUGGUAAACAGACAUCUCUUCAAAGAAGAUAUACAAAUGGCCAAAAGCACAUGUAAAGAAGCUCAACAUCGUUAGUCAUUAGGGAAAUGAAAAUCAAAACCACAGUGAAAUACCGCCUCCCACCCAUUAGCAUGGCUAGAAUUAAAACGAAACAAAGCAGAAAAGAGCAAGUGUUAGCGUGGAGGUGGAGAAACUGGAACUCUUGCGCACCGUUGGUGGGAAUGUAAAAUGGUGCAGCUGCUGUGGAAAACAGCAUGGCAGUUCCUCAAAAAGUUAGAGAAACAUAGAAUUACCAUUUAGUCCAGCAAUUUUACUUCUAGGUAUAUACCCAAAAGAAUUGAAAAAGAAUUGAAAGAACUGAAAGCAAGGACUCGAAGAGACAGUUGUACACCCAUGUUCACAGCAGCCCUACUCACAAUAGCAAACGUGGAAGCAGCUCAAGUGUCCACCAACAGAUAAAUGGAUAAAGAAAAUGUUGUCUAGACACACAAUGGAAUACUAUUUAGCCUGAAAAACAGACAAAAUUUUGAUAUAUGCUACAGUGUGGAUGAACCUUGAAGCCAUUAUGCUAAGUGAAAUAAGCCAGACACAAAGGACAAAUACUGUCUGAUUCCACUUAGAUGAAAUAUCUAGAAUAGGCUAAUUCAGAGACUGGAAGUAGAUCAGAGAUUGCCAGGGGCUGGGGAGAGAAGUGGG
rnacentral:lncRNA from 1 species